ACAGGGAUUGCCUCAGUAACGGCGAGUGAAGCGGCAACAGCUCAAAUUUGAAAUCUGGCCCUAGGCCCGAGUUGUAAUUUGCAGAGGAUGUUUCUGGCGAGGUGCCUUCCGAGUUCCCUGGAACGGGACGCCAUAGAGGGUGAGAGCCCCGUACGGUUGGUCGCUAAGCCUCUGUGAAACUCCUUCGACGAGUCGAGUAGUUUGGGAAUGCUGCUCUAAAUGGGAGGUAUACGUCUUCUAAAGCUAAAUACCGGCCAGAGACCGAUAGCGCACAAGUAGAGUGAUCGAAAGAUGAAAAGCACUUUGAAAAGAGGGUUAAAUAGUACGUGAAAUUGUUGAAAGGGAAGCGCUUAUGACCAGACUUGGACCGGUUGAUCAUCCAUCGUUCUCGGUGGUGCACUCUGCCGGUUCAGGCCAGCAUCAGUUUGUCCCGGGGGAUAAAGGCUUUGGGAAUGUGGCUCCUCCGGGAGUGUUAUAGCCCACUGUGUAAUACCCUGGGAUAGACUGAGGUUCGCGCUCCGCAAGGAUGCUGGCGUAAUGGUCAUCAGUGACCC
rnacentral:rRNA from 1 species